GGAAUCAGGGUUCGAUUCCGGAGAGAGAGCCUGAGAAAUAGCUACCACAUCCAAGGAAGGCAGCAGGCGCGCAAAUUACCCACUCCCGAAACGGGGAGGUAGUGACGAUAAAUAACGAUGCGGGACUCAAUCGAGGCCCCGUAAUUGGAAUGAGUACACUUUAAAUCCUUUAACGAGGAUCAAUUGGAGGGCAAGUCUGGUGCCAGCAGCCGCGGUAAUUCCAGCUCCAAUAGCGUAUAUUAAAGUUGUUGCAGUUAAAAAGCUCGUAGUUGGAUCUCAGGAUUUGGAUGGAUGGUUCGCUUUCGGGCGCUACUAUCUGUCUGACCUACUCUAGUCGUGGAUGCCUUGGGUGCUCUUAAUUGAGUGCUUUUGGUGCCCGACGCAAUUACUUUGAAAAAAUUAGAGUGCUCAAAGCAGGCGUAUUGCCUGAAUAGUGUUGCAUGGAAUAAUGAAAUAGGAGUUUACUUCUAUUUUGUUGGUUUUCGGAGGUGAACUAAUGAUUAACAGGGACAGACGGGGGCAUUUGUAUGGAGGGGUUAGAGGUGAAAUUCUUGGAUCCUCUCCAGACAAACUACUGCGAAAGCAUUUGCCAGGAAUGUUUUCACUAAUCAAGAACGAAAGUCAGAGGUUCGAAGACGAUCAGAUACCGUCCUAGUUCUGACCAUAAAUGAUGCCAUCUAACAAUCCACGAAGUUUGCUUGUACGAACUCGUGGGCGGUCCCCGGGAAACCAAAGAUUUUGGGUUCCGGGGGAAGUAUGGUUGCAAAGCUGAAACUUAAAGGAAUUGACGGAAGGGCACCACCAGGAGUGGAGCCUGCGGCUUAAUUUGACCCAACACGGGAAACCUCACCCGGCCCGGACACUUUUAGGAUUGACAGAUUGAAGGCUCUUUCUUGAUCAAGUGGUUGGUGGUGCAUGGCCGUUCUUAGUUGGUGGAGCGAUUUGUCUGGUUAAUUCCGAUAACGAACGAGACUCUACUCUGCUAAAUAGAACGUUGAUAUAUAAAAGUCAGUGCUGACUUCUUAGAGAGACUAACGGCGUUUAGCCGUGUGAGAAAGAGCAAUAACAGGUCUGUGAUGCCCUUAGAUGUCCGGGGCCGCACGCGCGCUACACUGACUGCAGCAACUAGUAUGCUCCUGGUUUGAAAAAACUGGGUAACCUGGUUGAAUUGCAGGCGUGACAGGGAUCAGAGUUUGCAAUUAUCCUCUGUGAACGAGGAAUUCCCAGUAAGCGCAAGUCAUUAGCUUGUGCUGAUUACGUCCCUGCCCUUUGUACACACCGCCCGUCGCUACUACCGAUUGAAUGGUUUAGUGAGGUCUUCGGAUUGGUGCUGAUGGAGUGGUUCUCUGCUCUGUUAGUGCCGAGAAGAUGAUCAAACUUGAUCAUUUAGAGGAAGUAAAAGUCGUAACAAGGUU
rnacentral:rRNA from 1 species